rnacentral:rRNA from 1 species
AUUGAACGCUGGCGGCAGGCCUAACACAUGCAAGUCGAACGAGUGGCGGACGGGUGAGUAAUUUCUGGGAAACUGUCUGAUGGAGGGGGAUAACUACUGGAAACGGUAGCUAAUACUGCAUACCAUCAGAUGUGCCCAGAUGGGAUUAGCUUGGUGGUGGGGUAACGGCUCACCAAGGCGACGAUCCCUAGCUGGUCUGAGAGGAUGACCGGCCACACUGGAACUGAGACACGGUACAGACUCCUACGGGAGGCAGCAGUGGGGAAUAUUGCACAAUGGGCGCAAGCCUGAUGCAGCCAUGCCGCGUGUAUGAAGAAGGCCUUCGGGUUGGAAAGUACUUUUAGCGGGGAGGCGUUACCCGCAGAGGAAGCACCGGCUAACUCCGUGCCAGCAGCCGCGGUAAUUC